rnacentral:rRNA from 1 species
GACACGGUCCAGACACCUACGGGUGGCAGCAGUCGAGAAUCAUUCACAAUGGGGGAAACCCUGAUGGUGCGACGCCGCGUGGGGGAAUGAAGGUCUUCGGAUUGUAAACCCCUGUCAUGUGGGAGCAAAUUAAAAAGAUAGUACCACAAGAGGAAGAGACGGCUAACUCUGUGCCAGCAGCCGCGGUAAUACAGAGGUCUCAAGCGUUGUUCGGAAUCACUGGGCGUAAAGCGUGCGUAGGCUGUUUCGUAAGUCGUGUGUGAAAGGCGCGGGCUCAACCCGCGGACGGCACAUGAUACUGCGAGACUAGAGUAAUGGAGGGGGAACCGGAAUUCUCGGUGUAGCAGUGAAAUGCGUAGAUAUCGAGAGGAACACUCGUGGCGAAGGCGGGUUCCUGGACAUUAACUGACGCUGAGGCACGAAGGCCAGGGGAGCGAAAGGGAUUAGAUACCCCUGUAGUCCUGGCAGUAAACGGUGCACGCUUGGUGUGCGGGGAAUCGACCCCCUGCGUGCCGGAGCUAACGCGUUAAGCGUGCCGCCUGGGGAGUACGGUCGCAAGAUUAAAACUCAAAGAAAUUGACGGGGACCCGCACAAGCGGUGGAGUAUGUGGCUUAAUUCGAUGCAACGCGAAGAACCUUACCUGGGCUUGACAUGUAAUGAACAACAUGUGAAAGCAUGCGACUCUUCGGAGGCGUUACACAGGUGCUGCAUGGCCGUCGUCAGCUCGUGUCGUGAGAUGUUUGGUUAAGUCCAGCAACGAGCGCAACCCCUGUUGCCAGUUACCAGCACGUGAAGGUGGGGACUCUGGCGAGACUGCCCAGAUCAACUGGGAGGAAGGUGGGGACGACGUCAGGUCAGUAUGGCCCUUAUGCCCAGGGCUGCACACGUACUACAAUGCCCAGUACAGAGGGGGCCGAAGCCGCGAGGCGGAGGAAAUCCUGAAAACUGGGCCCAGUUCGGACUGUAGGCUGCAACCCGCCUACACGAAGCCGGAAUCGCUAGUAAUGGCGCAUCAGCUACGGCGCCGUGAAUACGUUCCCGGGUCUUGUACACACCGCCCGUCACAUCAUGGAAGCCGGUCGCACCCGAAGUAUCUGAAGCCAACCGCAAGGAGGCAGGGUCCUAAGGUGAGACUGGUAACUGGGAUGAAGUCGUAACAAGGUAGCCGUAGGGGAACCUGCGGCUG